rnacentral:rRNA from 1 species
GAUCCUGGCUCAGGAUGAACGCUAGCUACAGGCUUAACACAUGCAAGUCGAGGGAAACGACAUCGAAAGCUUGCUUUGAUGGGCGUCGACCGGCGCACGGGUGAGUAACGCGUAUCCAACCUGCCCACCACUUGGGGAUAACCUUGCGAAAGUAAGACUAAUACCCAAUGAUAUCUCUAGAAGACAUCUGAAAGAGAUUUAAAGAUUUAUCGGUGAUGGAUGGGGAUGCGUCUGAUUAGCUUGUUGGCGGGGUAACGGCCCACCAAGGCGACGAUCAGUAGGGGUUCAGAGAGGAAGGUCCCCCACAUUGGAACUGAGACACGGUCCAAACUCCUACGGGAGGCAGCAGUGAGGAAUAUUGGUCAAUGGGCGAGAGCCUGAACCAGCCAAGUAGCGUGCAGGACGACGGCCCUAUGGGUUGUAAACUGCUUUUAUAAGGGAAUAAAGUGAGUCUCGUGAGACUUUUUGCAUGUACCUUAUGAAUAAGGACCGGCUAAUUCCGUG